rnacentral:lncRNA from 1 species
GUAUUCAUUAUUAUUACUUUUCUUUUGAUUUUAAAAGAAAACAUUUUCAACGGUUCCAAGGCACUGUGCUAGACAGACGAGGUAGCUAUCCAUCUGCAUUUGGAAAGGCAUGGUCUCUUCCUGAGAAGCCAGCAUCAGGCUCUUGCAGGAGAGUGAUGGUGCAUAUUCAUUGUGUAGGUAAGAGAAUUUUUACAGGGGCCACUUUAAAAAGAUGUGUCCAGGAUAUAAGGAAACAGAAAGUAGAAAGCGGUUUUGCAUGGCUAGUAAGACUGGUACCUCCCCAGAGGCAGGGAAGAACCAGAGGG